GGAAUGAAAGGCACUCACUUAGAUGAGGAAAGUUGAACAAAUAAAAGUUGGGCAAGGGGUAUAGGACACCUCACAUCUGCACACUUACUUUGCUCUAGAAAUGAGAGCCUCCCUUGGGACACGCCAAGGGUUAAAGCAUGUCUGCCACUGUAUAGCAAUCCAGUUUAGCAAUAUGUGCAUGGAAACAUGGCAGUUGUGGUAUGUAGAGCCAUAAGAGCCAUAAGCGUGGUGCACUUGUGCAUGCAUGCACACAUACAACCCCCCCUUUUUUAUUUUAUAAUUCUAAAGGCUUUAUGGCAGGAGUUGCUAACCUGUGGCCCUUCAGAUGUCAUUGGACUCCAACUCCCAUUGACACUGCUAUCUUGGCCUGAUGGGAGUUGAAGUCCAACAACAGUUCUAGUUACAGGUUGGUAGCCGUGUUGGUCUGCCGUAGUCGAAACAAAAUUAAAAAAAUCCUUCCAGUAGCUCCUUAGAGACCAACUAAGUUUGUUAUUGGUAUGAGCUUUAGUGUGCGUGCACACUUCUCCAGAUACACUGAAACAGAAGUCUAACAACAGCUCCCAACCAAAUAUGAAAAACACAAUACACAAUGACUUUUUACUGUUUCUGCUUCUGUGGGCUGUUAAUUUUUGCUGUUAUUGAUUUGAUUUAAUUUAUUCUCUGUUGCUUGAUUUUGUUGUAUUUUUAUAGUUGAGUUUUAUUUUAACAUUUUAUUGUAAGAUGCCCAGAGACCUCUGAUCAUAGGGUAUCAUAGAAAUAUCAUUAAUGACAAUCUCGUUUUUCAUUGAUAAGCAUCCAUGUUAUGUACAUAGGCAGUCUUUCAUUUAAACACUGACCAGAUGCAGAAGAGUUUCACUUCAGCAGCGUUGAUGCAACCUGUGUCUUCAGACCAUCGUCUGGUUAUGAUUAUUUAGAUGUCACAGUGUCCAAAUAUAAUUUUCUAGGAUUCCACUACAUUCCAGUUAAGGAUAUUUGGUUCAGUUCAGUGCCUUUAUAUGAAAAUGAACAUGGUCAGACUGGGGAGAGAAUAACAAUCGUUGAACACAAACAAAAUUAUAUCUGAGUAAAUAUGAAUAGGAUUGUACUAUAGAGUAUGUAUCAUUUUUUCCAGAUCUGAGCAUUGCAUCAAUUGUAGGUGUAUGAGCUUAGAUAAGGUGAUACUGAAACUUUAGAGGAGAACGCUACAAUUCUAAGAUCCUUAAUUGGCAGUUUUGGUAACCAGGUGGUUGAUUAUUAUUUUUUUUGAAAUUUAACAGGGAGAGAGGGCAGCCCACCAAUAAAAUCCGGCCCUGGUGGAGUUCUUCAUGUCAGCCGUGUAGCAUGAGCCCCUCCGUUAGCACCUCUUCAAAUCAACCUACCCAGUUGAAGUUAAGAGAUUAUUUUUCAUGUCUUCCUGCUACACAGGACUUGUGUAUGUGAGAUGGCUGCUUAGGACAUGACAUGGGAGAGGGGGAGUCCAUAGCACAGUAUCCUAAUCAUGGGGAUGGUGGACCACUUUCCUUUCCUUUAAUCAGAAAACAUAAAUAAAAUUGUUCCAGGCUUCUCCAUGGAAUCUUCUUCUUUAAUAAUUUUUCACCAUUCUCCCCUUACCAGUUUGUGCGCUGCUAUCAAAAAGUAAGAAGGCAAUACAACUUUUAUAGUGCAUUUUUAUAGGUGAAUCAGGGAUUCUAAUCUAUUUUAAGCUGUAAUCACUAACCUGG
rnacentral:lncRNA from 1 species